CCCCUAGAUGUUCUGGGCCGCACGCGCGCUACACUGAACAGUUCAACAAGUCUUAACCUUGGCCGAUAGGUCUGGGUAAUCUUUGAACGCUGUUCGUGAUUGGGAUAGAUUCUUGUAAUUUUUGAUCUUAAACGAGGAAUUCCUAGUAAACGCAAGUCAUCAGCUUGCAUUGAUUACGUCCCUGCCCUUUGUACACACCGCCCGUCGCACCUACCGAUUGAAUGGUCCGGUGAAAUCUCCGGACUGGCGUGAGUCGGAGCAAUCUGACAAACACCGGAAAGUUGAUUAAACCUUACCAUUUAGAGGAAGGUGAAGUCGUAACA
rnacentral:rRNA from 1 species